AGCAGCCGCGGUAAUUCCAGCUCCAAUAGCGUAUAUUAAAGUUGUUGCAGUUAAAAAGCUCGUAGUUGAAUUUCGGGGUCAGUAGGUUGGUCGUGCCACCGGUACGUACUGGUUUCACUGAUUCCUCCUUCCUGAAGAACCGUAAUGCCAUUAAUUUGGUGUUGCGGGGAAACAGGACUGUUACUUUGAAAAAAUUAGAGUGUUUAAAGCAGGCUAACGCUUGAAUACAUUAGCAUGGAAUAAUGAAAUAGGACGAUCGAUCCUAUUUUGUUGGUUUCUAGGAUUGACGUAAUGAUUAAUAGGGAUAGUUGGGGGCAUUAGUAUUCAAUUGUCAGAGGUGAAAUUCUUGGAUUUAUUGAAGACUAACUACUGCGAAAGCAUUUGCCAAGGAUGUUUUCAUUAAUCAAGAACGAAAGUUAGGGGAUCGAAGACGAUCAGAUACCGUCGUAGUCUUAACCAUAAACUAUGCCGACUAGGGGUCGGAUGAUGUUAAUUUUAUAAUGACUCAUUCGGCGCCUUA
rnacentral:rRNA from 1 species